rnacentral:rRNA from 1 species
UGGGGGAUAUUGCGCAAUGGAGGAAACUCUGACGCAGCAACGCCGCGUGAAGGAAGAAGGUCUUCGGAUUGUAAACUUUUGUCUUCGGGGACGAUAAUGACGGUACCCGAGGAGGAAGCCACGGCUAACUACGUGCCAGCAGCCGCGGUAAUACGUAGGUGGCGAGCGUUGUCCGGAAUUACUGGGUGUAAAGGGUGCGUAGGCGGGUUGACAAGUCAGAUGUGAAAUCCCAUGGCUUAACUGUGGGACUGCAUUUGAAACUGUUGGCCUUGAGUGCAGGAGAGGUAAGCGGAAUUCCCAGUGUAGCGGUGAAAUGCGUAGAUAUUAGGAGGAACACCAGUGGCGAAGGCGGCUUACUGGACUGCAACUGACGUUGAUGCACGAAAGCGUGGGGAUCAAACA